rnacentral:rRNA from 1 species
GGAGGCUUGCGGUUUAAUUGGAUCAACGCCGGAAAUCUUACCGGGACCGACAGCAAUAUGAAGGCCAGGCUGAAGACUUUGCCGGAUUAGCUGAGAGGUGGUGCAUGGCCGUCGUCAGUUCGUACUGUGAAGCAUCCUGUUAAGUCAGGCAACGAGCGAGACCCACGCCCACAGUUGCCAGCGUACUCUCUGGAGUGACGGGUACACUGUGGGGACCGCCGCUGCUAAAGCGGAGGAAGGAAUGGGCAACGGUAGGUCAGUAUGCCCCGAAUAUCCCGGGCUACACGCGAGCUACAAUGGUUGGUACAAUGGGUAUCUACCCCGAAAGGGGACGGGAAUCUCCUAAAACCAAUCUUAGUUCGGAUUGAGGGCUGCAACUCGCCCUCAUGAAGCUGGAAUCCGUAGUAAUCGCGUUUCAACAGAACGCGGUGAAUACGUCCCUGCUCCUU